UUCAAUUACAUGGCAUAAGGUUGCUCGUUGCGAUUAGUUUACAUGUAUAUGGAAAUUUGUUGCAUCAUUCCCUCACUAAUUCUUCUCAUUUUCUGUGUUACCAUUGCUUUUAUCAUAUUGAACGGCUUUAGUCAUCUCUUUCAGGUCUACUAAUCCAUCCUUUCCCAUUUUCCUCGACAAGCCACCGACAAUUUCAGUAUCAAUUUCUACUUCCGAUUCUGGGGAAGCUGCAACCUCAUCAACUAAGGUAGAAGUUGCCCCAUCCACACUAUCGGAAUCAUCUCCCACAGAGCUUUUAAACUUUUCAACCAGUUUAGCCACCCCCGACUGAAAGUUAGGGUCUGUUAUUAUUUUUUUCAACUGUUCCCCUUGUACUUUGCCAUCUUGCAAUGCAAUAAUAAAGCCGGACAUAACUGAAGGCGAAAAUACCCUCAUGGUUUCUGGGGAUGCUGCAAGCUCAUCAGCUAAGGCAAAAGUUAUCCCAUCCACACUCUCGGAAUCAUCUGCAACAGAGCUUUUAAACUUCUCAACAAGUUUCGACUUAAAGGUAGGGUCUUCUAUUAUUUUGUUGAAAUGCUCCCCAAUGUCGGACAUAACGAGUUUUGGGGAUGCCGCCUCAUCCUCGUUUUGUCCUACCACAAAUUGGAUUGCUUCGAGUUCUGGGGAUGUCGCCUCAUCCUCGUUUUGUCCUACCACAAAUUGGAUUGAGAGCAACAAAGCCAAUGAGAAUACAACGAAAGAAACCUUCACCAUAUUUUUUUACAAAAAAAAAAAAGAAAAGGAUAAGCAAAAAAAGUAAGAUAUAUUUUUAUCAACUCAUAGGGAUGGAAACGAGACCAAUUUUAAAGAGUUUAAAAUGAGAUAGUUUUGCCGAAUUUAGGGGCCAUUGACUGGUUCGGUGCUUAAUAGCCAUACACUACUAAAAUACAUGUAACUUCUCUCCAUAUUUUAAAAGCUAUGUUUGUCACUAUUAUUAUUGGUUUUAAUUUAACCUAUCAGGCGGGUUUAAAUUUUCGUUGUGUCCCAACUCGAACCCAACCCAUGCUCACCUUUAGCCAUGUGAUAACUUUUCUAUAAUCCUUUUACGCUAUUUGGUGAACACUUUAACCUGCAAUGAUUUUCAGAAUUCCAUUUAAAAGGACAAUUUUAAAGAGAUCUUUCAAAAGCUUCAAAAAUUUCUUUCACAUUAAACAUAUUGUAACAGUCGAUUUUCAGUGAUGUCGAAAAUAGUGGUUCGAGGCUACCAAAUCCGGCAAGUAAGUUCGUAAAUAUUAUUUAAUAUUUAUGGGUCAAAUAUGAUUUUAGAAAGAUUUUUUUUAAUUAGUAAUUAGUGUUUUAUGAAGAUUUAUUCGGUUAAGUGGUUUUAGAAAAUGAGGUGUUCUAUAAACUAAGCCAUAAAUAUUUUUAUAAAUAUUUACGGAGUGUCAUUAAGGUAGUAUUAAAGUUUCAUUAAGAAAUUUUAACGUUUUGAUAGUUAAUUAAUUAAAAGGGACUAAAUUGCAUAAAGGGUGAAAGUUAAAUUAUAGAUUAAGUAAAAUUAAAGGGAUCAAAGAAGCAAUUAUGCUAUUGCUUAAAGUUGAGGCUGCAUAAGUAGAUAUUUAUUUAAAAAUCUAAAGUUAAAAUAUAUUAUAAUGUUAUAAUAAUAUUACUUAAAAGUUAAGUAUAUAUUAUAUAUUAUAUUAUAUUAUAUUAUAUUAUAUUAUAUUAUAUUAUAUAAUAAAAGAACAAACAAAUAGAAAAGAAGGAAAGAAACAGAGAAGCAACACGAAAACAGGGAAGAAAGGAAAGAAAAAGAAAAAGGGAAGGAAAGAAAGAAAGAAAAUUUGGGAUUUUAAAGUUCAAAGUUUGAUUGGUAAGUCAAUUUAGUCCAUUUUCUUGUAAUUUUUGAGUUUUUAGAAUCUUAGAACAAAAUAUUACUUGAUUUAAGUUGAAAUUUUGAAAGUUAGUAAAUUUUUAGAAGUUGUUCAUGUUGAAUAAAUUGAAGAAUUAGGGAUUAAAUUGAUAAAAUUUCCAGUUAGGAGUUAGUAAAGGAUUGAUUUGUAAAAUAAAACAUAAGUUUUGAAUUAAUAGGGACUAAAUUGAGAGAAUUUCAAAAUUAAGGAUUUAUGGUGAAAUUAGUGAGUUAAAUUAGUUUAAAGUGGGAAUUGAAUGAAAAUAUGAAAUUAGUUUUGAGAAUAAAAGUUAGUCUCGAUUCAGGGACUAAAUUGGAAUUUAGGAAAAUAUUGAGUAAAAAUUGAAAUAUUUAAUGUGAGAUUGAAUGGUGUUGUAUUGAUGAUUUUUAAUUUUUUAAUUCCGUAGCUAGCGUCGUACCAAAACUCUCGACUAAAAAGGGAAAAAUAUAAUCGACGAGGAAUAGCUCGGAAUUCCUGGUUUGUAUUUCUAUAAUCCGAAUCUAAUUAUUAAUUGUUGUAUUUUAAUUAAAUGUUAUGGUAAGUGAUUGAGGUGAGAAUUAUUGUGUUUUACAAUUGAAAUGGAUUAUUUUGGUAUGUGAUGAAAUUAUAUUGAUUGAAUUGAAUUGGAAUAUAUAUAUUAUAAAUAUAUUUGUGUAAAUGUGAAAUUGUGCAAAUAUGAUAAUUGAAUUAUUUUUUAUAUGUAUAAAAUUCAGUUUUAAUGCCCAAGUAGACAGAAUUUAGAACUACUAGGAUAUUAGUGGCAUGCCAUUAAGGAACUUAGCGCGCUCUCUGAUUACUAGCACGUUAGUGCUCUCCGUUUAGCACAUUUUUGCUCUCUGUAUAGCACUUUAGUGCUCUCUGUUCAUUAGUGCAUAAUAAUGCACCUCUAUAUUUGUUCCAUAUAUCCGGUGUGUUCUAUAAAAUCUACUCUGGGCUGAGAAUAUGAGAUAGUAAACUGAAAAUAGAAUGUGAAAUAUGUUGUAAAUACAUGGAAUACACGAGUUAUAUAUUCAUAAAUUGAAUGUGGAAUGGAUAGUGCCAUUGUUUAAAUGAUACUUGAAUAAAUUAUGGAAAGGUAUUAUAUAUAGCAAGUGAUGAAAAUUGAGUAUUGUGUGAUUUUAAAUGUUCAAUUGUUCUUAACAUUUUAUUAUCCAUAUUUUAUUGUUUUAUUUUUUAAAAAAAAUUCAAAUUAUAGAAAUACCACUGAGUUUUUACUCAGCGUACGGUUUUAUUUUCCGUGCGCAGGUUAAGUACAUAAGUUUGAUCGUUGAUUCAACAUCCAACAAUGAUCCCGAACUCAAAUAUAGUGAUGUUUAUUUCUUUGUGUCGGCAUGUACCUAGAGUGUCUAAAUAAUAGUUAUUUUGUGGUUUGAUUGUAAAUGAAGUUAUAAGAUUAAUUUUGAAGAGUUUAUAAUUUGGAUUAAAAUGAUGCUUUAAUGACUUGUUUCAAUGAUAUAAAAUGUUUGAGAUUUUUGUCUACUUGAUCUAUAAACUCCGUUAAUGCUCCAUAACCCAGUACCGGCGAGGGAUACGGGGUGGGGGUGUUACACAUAUUGCAAAGAACGCAAAAAGACUAUCCGGUACAAAAUGACGGAUUCCAAGAUUGAAGUUAGAGGACUCGCCGCGUGUAACUAUAGGUGUGGUUGUCCUUCGUCGUGCCCCAGCGGCAUGACUUUCAUGUUUUUGCCCUAUUAUUUUCUUUGAUUUAUGUUAGGGUAAACUAUAAAUUAGUCACCCAACUUCGAUUCUUGGUUCAAUUUGGUACUUAAAUUUGACUUUUUGGUCCAAAUUAGUACUUAUAGUAAAUCACCUAUUUGAAUAAAUUUGAACUUGGCUUGGUAUCAAAUGAAAUAUUGAGGUCAAGUUCAUGUACCUAAUUGGACAAAAUGUUUUUUGACUAAAGCAUUUACUUUUUAACGAUUUUAGCGCGAUAUCUUGCAUAGUAAUCUACAUGUACUUAAUAUUGACAUAACGAUAUUUAUCUUAUAUGUUAUGUCAACAAAUAAUUUAUAAUUAUUGUCGAAACUAUUUUUAUUUUGAAAAAUGGGGUCGACUUUUAAAACGAAAAUGGAGUCGCCACCAAUUUUUUUUCGAGGUGUGAUCAGGUCACCUUGAGAUUAAUCAUUUUAAUAAAACAUUUUGAUUUAUUAAAAUAAUGAUUUUGGUCUACAAAAUUCGAGAAAACGGGUUCGGGAGUCGGUUACGCACGCGCCCUCUUAAUGCCCAAAAAUUGGUACCUAAUUGAUUAAUUAACGUCCUAAUGUUGAAAAUUUGAAAAGAUUUUAAAAUACGAUCCUCUUUAAAAACCUGAAUAAAUCGAAUUUGAUGUUAAGACUUCCUUGUCCCGAAGUAAUAAGAUGUCACAUCCAGUGAGUUAGGAUACGACAUUUUAACUCUCGAAACUAAGCAUGUCUCAUGCAUGAAAGUUUAAAAAGGAAAUUCGGUUAUUUGGAUCAAAAAAAUUGAAACCCAGUAAGUUAGUGCACGAUUUUCUCAAAGCUCUAAAGUACUGAAUAUUGCUUUUUUUUUAAAAGUUUUCUUUUUUAAAAUUGGGAAAAUUGACGCAAUAUUAAAACGAUGCGUAAAAAUUUUGAUAAAAAACGGCAAUAUGAAAAUACAAAUAAAUAAUUUAUAAAACACAAAAUGACAAUUAUUUAAAUACUAGCAUCAAUAAUCAAAGGCUAAUGAAUUUAAAACAAAGAGUAUAAAAAAAUAUAAGGCAAAAUAAAAUGUAAAUAAAUUUAAAAAUAAUGAAUAUGAAAAUGAAUAAUAAGAGAAAAAGAAAUUUGAAAUCAACAAUAUACAAAUUAAUAAAUAAAUUAUAUAUAAAAAAAGUAGGUAAUAUAUGUAUAAGUUUGGAAUAAAUAAUAUAUAAAAAAUGAAAAUAGGCAAUAUAUAAAGUAAUAAUAUAUAUAAAUGAGUUUAAACAUAAAUAUUGUGUAAUAAGGAAUUUAGAACAAAUUAUACACAAAAUAUCUUAAAAAUAAAUGGUAUAUAAAAUAGAUAGUAUAAAAAAAAAUUGCAAUUGAUAAUAUAUGGGAAAAAAUUUUAAAGCAAAUAAUCAAAUAAUUUAAAAUGGAUGGUUUAUAACACGAGUUUUUAAAAAAUAAACAACAUGUGUGACAUAAUAUUAAAAAUAAAUAAAGUAUAUAAUUUAACUUAAAUAUUUUUAUUAUAAUAAAAUAGCAAUAAUAGAAUGGUUUAAUAACUUAUUUUUUUCUCUCUUUUUUGAGGUUUCUAAAUUUAACCGUUUCUUAUUUUGGGGAAGCUGCAACCUCAUCAGCUAAGGCAGAAGUUGCCCCAUCCACACUCCCGGAAUCAUCUCCCACAGAGCUUUUAAACCUUUCAGCGAGUUUAGCCACCCCCGACUGAAACUUAGGGUCUGUUACUAUUUUUUUCAAUUGUUCCCCUUCUACUCCGCCUUCAUGCAAUGCAGCAAUAAAGCCGGACAUAACUGAAGCCGUAACUUCCCUCAUCGAUUCUGGGGAUGCUGCAACCUCAUCAGCUAAGGCAGAAGUUGGCCCGUCCACUAUCCCGGAAUCAUCUCCACCAGAGCUUUUAAACAUUUCAUCGAGUUUACCCAUCCUCGACUUAAAGGUAGGGUCUGCUAAUAUUUUGUUGAAUUGCUCGCCAAAGUCGGACAUAACAAGUUCUGGGGAUGCCGCCUCAUCCUCCUUUUUUCCUACUACAAAUUGGAUUGAGAGCAUCAAAGCCAAUGAGAAUACAACGAAAGAAACCUUCGCCUUUUUUGUUUUUUUUUUAAAUGUUAAGAAAAAAAAGUAAGAUAUAUUUUUAUCGAUGGAACUGAGACAAAUUUUAAAGAGUUUAAAAUGAGAUUUUUUUGGCCAAAUAUAGGGGCCGUUGAAUGGUCUGGUGCUUAAUAGCCAUACACCAUUAACAGCCAAAGUAUGUAAUUUUUCUUGAGUUUGACUCUUUUCUCUUUCUUCCCCCUUUUAUUGUUUCCCGAAAUAGGGUUUAUUUUAAUCAAGUUUCAAUGUUCUUCAGAUGGGAAGACAUGGGCCUUCAAGAUUAGGGAUUAAAACUUAAAAGGAUGAAGACAAAUAGGGUAAAUGGGUAAUCAGUGUUUUGUGUAUAUUUCCAUUCAAUACAACUUUAAUCAUGGGCGAAGUCAGAACAAUUUUUUAGGGGCGAAUGAAAUUUUAACUUUUUAUAGUUUAUAUCUUUAUAAUUUUUAAUAGAUCAAAUCGAAUUUUUAUAAUUUUAGUAGGGGCCAAAGUUGUAAUUUUACCUUUACUAAUUUUAAAUUUUAAAUUGCCCAAAUAAUAAUUUUUCAUUUUAGGGGGGCCGGGGCCCCUGCUAGCCCCCUAGCUACGCCUCUGACUUUAAUCACCGUUUAAAAGUCUAAUUUUGACAAUUCAUAAAUGAGUCUUACAUAUUUAAACAUCGAUAAUUAAUGCAUUGAGAAGCGAUGGAUGAAAAAGUAUCGAUAGACAUUGAAAAAAAUUAAUAAUGCAUUAAAAUGAUAAAUAUGGAUUAUACUUAAUGUUAAAUUAGCAUUUAUUUUUAAUUAUCCUAAAUUCAAGGUAAAAGAUAUGAUUUAAUGCUUUUCUUAAUUAGUGUAUCAAAUUCGGCAAUGAUUUUUCUAAAAAAUAUUGGCCAACAAACUUUAUGAAAAUUAAAUCUUACAAAUUUUAGAAAGAAAAUUUUAGCUUUAAAUAAAAUCGUGGUUAAUGCCACUCUUUACAAUAUUGAAAUUUUUUUUAUUAAACCUAAGCUUAGAACAUUAAGCGAACAUCAGUCCUAAUGUGUAUUAUCAUCCGUCACCAGUGACUGUCUAAUUUCAUAUUCAAGCGUACCUCUCACAUAUUAUAGUGGAUCUUCCAGAAUAAUCAAUCGUUCAAUUACAUCUUCAUCUGUCUUAGUUAUGCAGUCAGUAACUUUAUUGACGUUCCAUUGAAUGUAUAUCAAUUUUUAAUAAUAAUAUAUAAAUGAAACAUAGUUAUAUGGUUCUAAUAAAAACAACCCGAAUCAAUAUAAGAAAAGGCUACAGAGACGCCAAAAGGGGCAGGGAUCGACUCUGCUUUUUGGAACAGGACGUCGUUCUCCGCUCCAAAUUGGCCUCCGUUGAUACAUCGUAUCAACAAACACAAUACGAUCUUUGUUUGUGGAGUUAAAAAAAAUAAACUAAAUUGCAUAUAUAAUUCUUAAAGGGAAAGAAAAAGUAAAAGUAAAACUGAGCACUUUACUUAGAAUCCGUAUGUUUCUAGUGUUGGUGGCACCAUUUUUUUUGUGAAAACGGGGUCGACUUUUAUUUUCAAAAUGAAAACAAACACGGGAGUCGCCACCAAUCUUUUUUAAUAAGGUGUGAUCGGAUCACCUCGCAAUUUAAUCGUUUUAAUAAAUAGAUUGUUUUAUUAAAACAUUAUUUUUUGGUCUACAAAAAUCCAGAAAACGGGUUCGAGAGUCGGUUACGCACGAGAAAGGAUUAGCACCCUCGAUGCACCCAAAAUUGGUACCUAGUUGAUUAAUUAGUGUCUUAAUGUCAAAAAUGUGCAAAGAUUUUAAAAUACGAUCCUUGUAUUUAAAAAAAAAACUUGUAUAAAUCAAAUUACCGGUUCAGACCCUCUCAUUUUGGAAAGAGAAAAUGUCACACUCAAUGAGUUAGGGCAUGAUAUUUCACCUCCUCAAAAAUGAGCUCAUCCUAAAAAGAACUCAUGGAAUGAAAUUUAAAAUGAUAUUCAAUUGUUUAAGUCAAAUGAAGAAAUCGCAGCCCAAUACACUAGGGCACAAUUCUCAAAAUUUCAAACAUUGAAUAUUCUUUUUAUUAUUUUUUUAGAAAAAUCAUCAUCUCGGGAAAACAAAAUGUCAUAUCCAAUGUGUUAGGACACAACGUAUCGAAUUCCCGAUACGAGAAUACAUGCCGAAAAAUUUACUUAUUUGAAAGGCAUUCGAUUAUAUCGGUUUUAGAAAAGACCAUAUUCCGUAAGUUAGAACACGAUCUUUUAUUAAUUAUUCCCGAGAUCGUUUAAAAACUUAAGUUUGAAAAGAUUCAUGUAUUUAUAUUUAUCGCGAAAAUUGAAACCCCGUAAGUUAGGGAACGACCUUCUCGAAUCUAGACACGAAAUUUUGGCUUAUUCAAAAGUCAUAAUUUAAAAGGAUAUUUUGCUAUUUAGGUUAAACAAGAAAUCGAAACCCAACACGUUGGGGCACGUCUUCUCAAUUUUUCAAGCUCUAAAUAUUGCCUUAUUUUGAGAUUUUUUUAAUUUGGAUAAAAAGGAAAUGAAAUGCUUAAAAAUGUACGUUUAGUUUCUUAGGUUUUUAGAGAAAUCGUUUAAUACGUAAAAGGAGUUAUACGUGGCUAAAUACGAUGGUGCAACAUACAUUUGAAAUAGCAAUGACAUAAUGUACAUAAUAAAAUGUAACAUACAUAACAUUAUCGUUAAUGAAUCAUAAAGUUAACAAGCACAAACAAUAAUAAGAAUGAUGGCAAUGAUAAUACAAUAAUAAUAAUGAUAAUAAUAAUGAAUAAAAAAGACGACAAUAAGGGAAAAAAAUAAAAUAACAAGCCAACCUAAAAGGAAAAUAAGAAGCAAGUAAAUAAAUAAACUAAUAAAUCUCAUUCAAAAAGGGUUAAGAUCUACUAUAUAAGUAAAAAACAAAAAAAGAAUAUCAAAUAAAAUAGUCCCCUUUUUUUAAAAUUAAAAUAAAUAAUCUAAUAAACUAAGGACUAAGGACGAGGUUGAAUUUGAAUAUAAAUUUCGGGGUCUAAAUUAUAACUAAAUAAAAAACUGCUAAGGACCAAAAUGAGACACACUCAAAGCGCGAGGGACCGACUGGGAAAUAUCCCCCAGUCUUAAAGCGCAGUGUUUUAACCGAUGGACUGCACAUGGUCUAAGGUAGGGGUGAGUAUUCGAUCGAAUCGAAUCGAAUUGAAUAAAAAAUUUUCGAGUUAAUCGAGUUUUCGAAUCUCAUUUUAUCAUCCUAACUUUAUUUGAAGUUUUCUCGAAUCGAGUCGAGUGAGAUGGAAUUCGAAUCGAAUUGAAUCGAAUAUAUUUGUUCGAGUUAAAUUUUAAAAAAAUAAUUUUGGGUCAUUGUAACCAUUUUCACCCAUCGUAAUAAAAUUUGUCGACCUUAAUCAAAUUUUUUAUUAACUUUCAUCACUUCAUAAUUUAUUUAUUAAUUUUUUAUAUACUGGUUAGCUUCUUUGCUUGCUUAGUUGUUUCAAUUAUCUUCAGAUUCUUGUCACUAUGUAUUUUAGAAUUAAAAAAUAUAUUAAAUGUAAAAAUAUGAUUUUUAAUAAAAGUUAUUUUAAAAAUAAAAUGUGAAAUUGAUACCAAUAUAAAAUUUUAACACGAAUAUUUUAUGGCAUAAUUAAUAAUUCAAUUUUAAUAUAAAUAUUUAAUAUGACUAAACAAUUCAAUAAUAUAAAUAAUAUAAAAUGUGAAAUUUAAUUUUACUAAUAUAAAUAGUAGAUAUAAAUAAAAUUAUUACUAUUUAUGUUUAGUGAAUUUUUUUUAGAUAAUUUUGAUUUUUUAUUUGAGAGUAAAGGGUGAGAAGUAAAAGUUUAAGGGAAAAAUAAAAAGUUUUGGGGAAUAAAAGUUUGAGGUAAAGUAAAUAGGGGGAGUAAAAUUUUGGAGGGAAAAUAUUUAAAAAAAAUUGGAAGGGGGAGGGUUUGGGAUAGAUGGGAGGUGGGAUGGGAAGGGAAGGGAAUAAAAGUUUUAGGGGAAAAGUGGGAGGGAGUAAAAAUUUUGGGGGAAAAUAAAAGGUUUUGAGGGUUUUUGGGAGUAAAAUUUUGAGAAAAAAUAAAUGGGAGAGUAAAAUUUUGGUGGGAAAUGGAUUUUUGGUAGAUUGGGGGUUGGGAGGGGAGGUGAGUAAAAGUUUUGGGGGGAAAGUGGGAAGGAGUAAAAGUUUUGAGAGAAAAGUAAAAAUGUUUGGGAGUUUGGGGUAAAAAUGUAAAAUAUUAUAGUUUGAUAUUCGAAUUAUUCGAAUUAUUCGAGUUAUUCGAAUUCGAAAACUCAACACGAUUCGAACUCGAAAUUCGAAAAAAAAUUCGAGUUGAUUCGAAUAACUCGAUUAACUCAAAUAACUUGAUUCGUUUAACUCGAAAUUCGAAUUUUUUUCGAGUCGAAUCGAGUUUUGCUCACCCCUAGUCUAAGGACCAGGUCGAAACAGAAGCCAAAUUCACGGCCCAAAUCACAAAAAACAAAAAAAGAUCAAAUUGCACUAUAUUGCAAAAGCAGAGGGACUUAUAGCGCAAAUAGCCCAUUCAGCAAAAAUGCACGGAUCCUCCAGUGGGUCAGGUCAACACGUGGAUCUAAGGGGUAAAAUGAGGUCGUUUCAACGACGAUGUGCACUGGCGCAAAAUGGCGUCGUUUCGUGCACUUAUAUAAUCUAUUUUUUUUUUUUUAAAAUUCAUUCUCUUCCACUUCCAAAGAAAAAAAACUGCAACACUCUCUCAAAAACUCUCCCCCCAUAUCCGGCCAUAGGAUUUCGGCCAUGGCCAUCGUCGCAGCGCCGCCGUGGCUGGUGGCCGUCGAUGCGCAAAGGGUGAUUUUUAAGCCUCCGUUUCAAAUCCCUUCAAAGGCCAAACUUUCUUGGCCCGAAGGCCGAGAGAAAAGGACCCCUAAACCCACCUUUCAGGGCCGAUUUUGAAGACAGAGAGACCUCCGACAAUGCGGCCGAUGGGCGUUUCGAGUAAGUUUUCAUUCCUUUUUCUUUUUAUUUUCGUAGAUGAAAUAAAAUAAUAAUAUAAAAAACUAGAUCUAAAAUGUAGAGAAAAAUAAAAUCACCUUCAAAUCAAAGUUCAAACUUUUGUAUUUUUUAUUUUAGAAUUCGGAAAAAAUAAAUGGUUUCAUUUUCGGUUCUUAUAGCCGAACCUAGGCUAUUCACCAUUAUUUUCUUUUGUCUAUUUCUUUUUAUUUUUUUCUUCUUUGUCUACUGCUAUUGUUUGUUUUUCUUUUGUUGUCUUUUCUUGCAGGAGGUCUGACGCGUGUGGAGGGCCAACGAUUGGCGAGCAGCGGUGGUGGCGCGAAGAGGCUUGGCUGGGGCUAGGGCUGCUGCUGCUGGUUUAGGUUACGGUCUGUAAUUUUGGACUGGGACUCGGGUUGUUGUUUGAGCUGAGGUAUUUUAUUAGGUUAGUCUGUUUAAUUUGGUUUGUAACUGGGUUUGGGCUUUCGGGCAAAAUGGGUUCUUACACUGUUAAUACAGAUAAACAUGAUUAGAUAAUGAGUGCACGAGGUAUCCACGAACGGGGUAUUAGAGGCCAAGGUAGAGGCCACAGAGGAGCUCGAGCUGAGUCCUCUUCACUGGGUAGCAUACAGAAUUUGGAUACGAGUGAGAUGCUAGUGUCUCCUGCUACUGAGACUGGGUCUCAAGAUCGCAUGGCUGGGGACGACGCAUUGUCCUAGGCUAUGCUAAGGAUUUUUGAGAGGGUCGUUGGGCCUAAUACUGGAUCUGAGGGUCGAGGGUUGAUUACGGAACGACUUCGGUCCAAUAGAGCUGAGCUCUUCAGGGGUGUAACUGGUGUUGCCCUUAAUGUGGCCAAGUACUGGAUUGAGGCUACGGAGAGGAUCAUGGAUGACUUAGACUGCACCCCAAAGCAAAAAUUAAAGGGUGCAGUCUCACUGUUAAAGGAUGAGGCUUAUCAGUGGUGGCUCACUGUUACAGAGGGCACUCAGCCUGGAUGUCUGACCUGGGAGUUCUUUAAGACUGCCUUCUAGGGGAAAUAUGUGGGGGCGAGCUACAUGGAGGCCCGUAGGAGGGAAUUCUUGAAUCUAACUCAGGGAGAUUGAUCAGUGGCUGAGUAUGAGGCCGAGUUCCUGCGACUGAGCCACUAUGCGUGAGGUAUGGUAGCCUUCGAGUACGAGUGAUGUAUUUAUUUUGAGGAUGGGCUCAGAGAUUAUUUGAGAGUCAUGAUAGCUCCGCAGAGGGAGCGUGAUUUUUCUGCACUAGUGGAGAAGGCGAAGAUCGCCGAGGAGGUUAAGCGCGCUGAACACCAGAACCGUGACCGCGAGAGGGGUAAGAACAAGAGGGAUUCGGAGCUCUCGAGUUUUGCAUAGUGGCCUAAGAAAAAGGCAAAAGUUGAUGGGCCGGUUAGAGCUGGGCCCCCUGUUACUGUUACUGGAUUGCAACCAUAUACUGAUUGUGGUAGACUCCAUCAGCGCGAGUGUUGGAGAAGGACUGGGGUGUGCUUGCGGUGUGGGUCAUUGGAGCACCGUAUUAGGGAGUGUCCGUUGAGGGCCGAUCAGAGGCAAGCUCUAGAUAAUGGUACGGCACAGCCACAGAGGGUAGUGCAACUAGCCACCGAGGGGCUGUGGACAGGCCAAAGGUGGUAAUGGUAUGGGUCGUGGGCAGAAGCACCAGGCAGAGGUGCUGGACAGGCUGAGGCAAGGCAGCCGGCCCUAGUUUAUGCUGCUCGUCGCCAAGAGGAUGGAGAUGCUCCGGACGUCGUCACGGGUACGUUCUAUAUUCUUGAUGUACCGUAUAUUGCCUUGACCACAUAUAUCUGAUCUGGCAGUUUUAACUGUAAUUCUGGUGGCAUUUCCACAAUAAUCUGUUGGUGUGUUUUUGGGUGAAAGAGUCCUGAGAAACUCUAAUUUGGUGUGUAGCGAAGAUAGGUAGGACGUUUUCUAAAAAAUAUGCAUAUUGUUUUCUAAAAAUAUUGCAUCGGCAUAUUCAUGCAUGCACAAAUUAUUAUAUAAACUUUUUAAUAUAUAUAAUAUAUCAAAAAUAUUAAAAUAAAUUAAAAAACAAUAUGUAUAGUUAUAUAAUUAAAAAACACUAAGAUAGGUGCAACUUAACAAGCAAAUGCCUUUAAAAUAGUAACAAAAUUAACAAUAAAACAAGAGUUAUACAAUAACAACAAAAAAAUAGGAACAUAAUAGUGAAAUGGUAGCAAAAUAGUGAAAAAUAAUAAUAAGAAAAUAACAACAAAACGAUAAAAAAAAUUAGCAUUUUUUUUUGCAUGUUCAGGCCGAGCUCGGGCCAAAAAAUCUUAGCCGAGGGCCGGCCCAUUUUCUAAACAGGUCUUCUUUUUUUACCCAACCUCAUUUUUCGGGCCUAUAUGUUUACCCAAAUCCUGCUACUUUUCGGGCAGCCCAACCCGAAAUAUGGACGGGUCUACUUUGACCUUCAACCUUGAAAUUUAGUUAAAUUACUCUUUCAUCUGAAUAAAUUGUUGCUUACAUAGCAAUCUACAUACUUAAUUGUCAACAUGGAUAAUUUCUCUAAAUAUUUUCAUUAACUUUUUUUUUAAUUUGUUGAACUUUUAUUUUAUUUUAUUUUGAAUAUUGAUGAAGUAUAUAUGGAUAACCAAUUGGUCAAACAUUUGUUUAAUUAAGAUUAAUUUUAUACAUCAUCGAUUGCACCUAAUAGAAAAAAGAGAUUAGUGACGAUGAAAACUCCACCUAUUCUUUCGGAAUUAUUCUACCAAUCCCAAUAUAGUCAUUACAUGAUUUCGUUUCAACAUAAAGAUCUAUAAAUUACCAAUAAAUAACUUUUAAUAAUUACAAGUUAAAUAUUAUACCAGUAAAUAUUGGAUGCAAUAAUAACACGUAUUAUAUUUUUAAUGAGAAAACGCGAAUUUCAAUCUUUAAAACUAUAUUAUUAAAAAGGAUAAUAACGAACUCUGAAUAUGAACGAAGGGGCUGGCUUUGAAUCAUUGGGCGGCACGUGUCUAAAAGUUGUUGAACCGUUAUAGUAGCUGAAACAAGUAAAUGAUUUAAAAAUGAUAUUGAUUAAGUUUGUAAACGUUUUUUUUUUAAUUUUUUAAGUUGAAAAGAUGGUAUCAUAUAAUAAUAAAUUUAACUUUCAAUGUUGACUAUUUUUACUAAAUUUGGUCACUAAAUUUUCAAAAAAAGAGCCAAAUAUUCUUUUAGUGUAAAUACUGAUCAAAGCAUUUAUUUUUUAAUGAUGUUGGCAUGACAGCCUAUGUGUCAAGCUAAGGCUACAUGUAUUUUAUGUUAACAUAGCAAUAUUUGUCUUAUAUGCCACAUAACAAAUAAUUAUAAAAGUUAAAAAAGAAUUAACAUGAAAUUCACGUCAACUGCAUGCAGGACACCAUGUUUAAAAUUUAAUUUUUCUAUGUCGAAUUCGAAUUAAUUACAAGAGGAGUAGACUAUGCCUAUUUAUAGGCUUGUAAACAUUAUUCUAAUAGGAGUGAAACUCCUUAUUCUAAUAAUAUCAAAUAGAUGGAGUUUAAUAAUGUUUAAAAAACCUUAUUCUAAAAUAAAAUAAAAGAAGUAUAAUUCUAUAGAGAUUUUACUUUAUUUUAUUUUACCACAGUAUUUUAUUUAAAUAAGAAUUUGGGUCACUUAAUUCUAACAUAUAAACUGAGAGAACGAAGGUUUCAUAAUCACAAUAUUUUGCUUUUCUCCCGAAUCUCAAGCCAACAACAAAAUUUAUCAUUUUGGCAUUUUUACUAUGGCUUUUGUUAUAUGAAUGAGAGUCAUGCUACCAUGCGAAUUUGUCAUUUUUCUCACCAACCCAUUAUUUGGGUUACUAUGCGAAUUUGUCAUUUUCCAUUUUCAACAAGCCACUGGAAACUUCAGUAGCAAUUUCUUCUUCCGAUUCUGGGGAAGCUGCAACCUCAUCAGCUAAGGCCGAGGUCGUCCCAUCCACACUCUCGGAAUCAUCUCCAACAGAGCUUUUAAACUUUUCAAUGAGUGUUUCCACCCUCGACACAAAGUUAGGGUCUGUUAAUGUUUUUUCCAAAUACUCCCCUUGUAUUCCGUCAUCCUGCAAUUUCGAAAUAAUGCCAGUCAUAACUAAAGCCCCAAAUACCCCUGCGGCUUCUGGGGAUGCUGCCUCAUCCAUAGCCUUCUCGUUUUGUCCUACUAUGAAAAAUACACAUAAUCCAACCUAUUUGGCCAAUUAAAAUUACACAUAAUCCAAUUUGUUGUUGUUUAUUAAAUUUCUUGUUUAACAAAUUGUUUUGUUUUGGCGCACGUUGAGAAAAAUUGGUAGCCUUUAUAAAUAUAGACAUCCAUACAUUGCAUAAUGUUUUUUUUUUUGGUUCAAUUACAUGGCGUAAGGUUGCUGGUUGCGAUUAGUUUACAUGUAUAUGGUAAUUUGUUGCAUCAUUCCCUCACUAAUUCUUCUCAUUUUCUGUGUUACCAUUGCUUUUAUCAUAUUGAACGGCUUUAGCCAUCUCUUUCAGGUCUACUAAUCCAUCCUUUCCCAUUUUCCUCGACAAACCACUGGCAAUUUCAGUAGCAAUUUCUACUUUCGAUUCUGGGGAAGCUGCAAC
rnacentral:lncRNA from 1 species